GACGAACGCUGGCGGCGUGCCUAAUACAUGCAAGUAGAACGCACAGUUUAUACCGUAGCUUGCUACACCAUAGACGGUGAGUUGCGAACGGGUGAGUAACGCGUAGGUAACCUGCCUGGUAGCGGGGGAUAACUAUUUGAAACGAUAGCUAAUACCGCAUAAUAUUAAUUAUUGCAUGAUAAUUAAUUGAAAGGUGCAAUUGCACCACUACCAGAUGGACUGGCGUUGUAUUAGCUAGUAGGUGAGGUAACGGCUCACCUAGGCGAAGAUACAUAGCCGACCUGGGAGGGUGGUCCGCCACACUGGGACUGAGGCACGGCCCAGACUCCUACGGGGGGCAGCAAGAGGGAAACUUCGGCCAUGGGCGAAAGUCUGACCGCACAACGCCGCGUGAGUGGAGAAGGUUUUCGGGUCGUAAAGCUCUGUUGUAAGGGAAGAACGGGUGUGAGAGUGGAAAGUUCACACUGUGACGGUAUCUGACCAGAAAGGAACGGCUAACUACGUG
rnacentral:rRNA from 1 species